CGACGUGCCGCCGAGACGAGAGCCUCUCUCUGCCCGGAUCGCGCUGGGCUUCUUUAUGUCGCCUGUCGUUAAAGGUCGCUGGUUGCCCUGCGGCAGCCUCUGUCGUGCUGUGGCCCGCAGUGGUCGUGGGAAUCUAGGAAGGACGCGAUCCAGGAGGCCUAGCAAUGGAACAGUAUUGAGACUUCUUCCAGUUUUCCAAUGGUCUUGGAUAUUUUACCUAAGAGGGAAGCAGACAAUAACUACCUUGUACGACGUUGCGUGAAAUCCUUGUACCUCUGCCCCCAGGACCUGUACUGGGCACAGACAUCCUACGGAAAGUCCUUUGGGUGGAGGUAUCUCUUUGGAAACUUCCCUGGGUGAUCUGUCCCGUUAGAACUGCCCCAGUCUGGUUUUGUCAACCUGAAAAGAUGUAUUGAUUCAUUUAAGUCUCGGUUUUUCAAUAGAGGUAAAAUGAAUUUAAUUAAUAGACAUUGAAAAAGCAGUUUAAAAUAUUCCUGAAGAGGUAAUAGAGAUGAAUUCCACAAAAAAAUAAAAUAUUUCCAGUAUUACAUCCUAUUUGUUAAGAAUUUCGGUUUCAAUUUUUCUUCCCCUGAGGAUAUGUAGUA